rnacentral:rRNA from 1 species
GAUGAACGCUGACAGAAUGCUUAACACAUGCAAGUCUACUUGAACUUCGGUUUGGGUGGCGGACGGGUGAGUAACGCGUAAAGAACUUGCCUCACAGUUAGGGACAACAUUUGGAAACGAAUGCUAAUACCUGAUAUUAUGAUUUUAGGGCAUCCUAAGAUUAUGAAAGCUAUAUGCACUGUGAGAGAGCUUUGCGUCCCAUUAGCUAGUUGGAGAGGUAACGGCUCACCAAGGCGAUGAUGGGUAGCCGGCCUGAGAGGGUGAACGGCCACAAGGGGACUGAGACACGGCCCUUACUCCUACGGGAGGCAGCAGUGGGGAAUAUUGGACAAUGGACCAAAAGUCUGAUCCAGCAAUUCUGUGUGCACGAUGACGUUUUUCGGAAUGUAAAGUGCUUUCAGUUGGGAAGAAAAAAAUGACGGUACCAACAGAAGAAGUGACGGCUAAAUACAUG